AUUGAUGUCCCUGGUCUUUAACCCCAUAAACCGUUAUAUAUGAUCAUGCACAUGACCAUUUUCACCUCGGCGGUUUUCUGUGUUUGUCGCUAGUUGUGGGCAACUCGUGGUUGCAUAUUUUGACUGGAUAUCGCUCCCUCCCCUGAAGAAGCGGAAGUCCGCGAAACAUGUAGGGUCCAUGCGAUUUCCUUUUCCAGUUGCAUC